CGACCGCUGGCGGCAUGCCUCACACAUGCACGUCGAACGAGACCUUCGGGUCUAGUGGCGCACGGGUGCGUAACGCGUGGGAAUCUGCCCUUGGGUUCGGAAUAACAGUUGGAAACGACUGCUAAUACCGGAUGAUGACGUAAGUCCAAAGAUUUAUCGCCCAGGGAUGAGCCCGCGUAGGAUUAGCUAGUUGGUGGGGUAAAGGCCUACCAAGGCGACGAUCCUUAGCUGGUCUGAGAGGAUGAUCAGCACACUGGGACUGAGACACGGCCCAGACUCCUACGGGAGGCAGCAGUGGGGAAUAUUGGACAAUGGGCGAAAGCCUGAUCCAGCAAUGCCGCGUGAGUGAUGAAGGCCUUAGGGUUGUAAAGCUCUUUUACCCGGGAUGAUAAUGACAGUACCGGGAGAAUAAGCCCCGGCUAACUCCGUG
rnacentral:rRNA from 1 species